GACGAACGCUGGCGGCGUGCUUAACACAUGCCAGUCGAACGGAAAGGCCCCUUCGGGGGUACUCGAGUGGCGAACAGGUGAGUAACACGUGAGUAACCUGCCCUUGACUUCGGGAUAACUUCAGGAAACUGGGGCUAAUACCGGAUAGGAAUCCUUGCUGCAUGGUGGGGGUUGGAAAGCUUCGGCGGUUUUGGGUGGACUCGCGGCUUAUCAGCUUGUUGGUGGGGUAGUGGCUUACCAAGGCUUUGACGGGUGGCCGGCCUGAGAGGGCGACCGGCCACAUUGGGACUGAGAUACGGCCCAGACUCCUACGGGAGGCAGCAGUGGGGAAUAUUGCACAAUGGGCGGAAGCCUGAUGCAGCAACGCCGCGUGCGGGAUGACGGCCUUCGGGUUGGAAACCGCUUUCAGCAGGGGCGAAGCUUGUGGUGACGGUACCUGCAGAAGAAGCACCGGCUAACUACGUG
rnacentral:rRNA from 1 species